CAGUCGCCGCGGGAAUACAGAGGGUGCGAGCGUUAAUCGGAUUUACUGGGCGUAAAGCGUGCGUAGGCGGCUUUUUAAGUCGGAUGUGAAAUCCCUGAGCUUAACUUAGGAAUUGCAUUCGAUACUGGGAAGCUAGAGUAUGGGAGAGGAUGGUAGAAUUCCAGGUGUAGCGGUGAAAUGCGUAGAGAUCUGGAGGAAUACCGAUGGCGAAGGCAGCCAUCUGGCCUAAUACUGACGCUGAGGUACGAAAGAAUGGGGAGCAAACAGGAUUAGAGACCCGAGUAGUCCCUGUCUCUUAUAC
rnacentral:rRNA from 1 species